GUUUCCUACGGGACGCAGCAGUGAGGAAUAUUGGUCAAUGGGAGAGAUCCUGAACCAGCCAAGCCGCGUGAGGGAAGACGGCCCUAUGGGUUGUAAACCUCUUUUGCCGGGGAGCAAGCCUGAGCACGUGUGCCCAGGCGGAGAGUACCCGGAGAAAAAGCAUCGGCUAACUCCGUGCCAGCAGCCGCGGUAAUACGGAGGAUGCGAGCGUUAUCCGGAUUUAUUGGGUUUAAAGGGUGCGCAGGCGGGCUGUUAAGCCGGCGGUAAAAAUUCAGGGCUCAACCCUGUCGAGCCGUCGGAACUGG
rnacentral:rRNA from 1 species